UACAGGGGGGGCAAGCGUUGUUCGGAAUUACUGGGCGUAAAGGGCCAGUAGGCGGCCAACUAAGUCCGACGUGAAAUCCCUAGGCUUAACCUAGGAACUGCGUCGGAUACUGGAUGGCUUGAAUUCGGGAGAGGGAUGCAGAAUUCCAGGUGUAGCGGUGAAAUGCGUAGAUAUCUGGAGGAAUACCGGUGGCGAAGGCGGCAUCCUGGACCGAGAUUGACACUGAUGAGCGAAAGCUAGGGGAGCAAACGGG
rnacentral:rRNA from 1 species